UACGUAGGGGGCAAGCGUUGUCCGGAUUUACUGGGCGUAAAGAGCGUGUAGGCGGCCAAGCAGGUCCGUUGUGAAAACUGGAGGCUUAACCUCCAGACGUCGACGGAAACCGCGUGGCUAGAGUCCGGAAGAGGAGAGUGGAAUUCCUGGUGUAGCGGUGAAAUGUGCAGAUAUCAGGAAGAACACCAAUGGCGAAGGCAGCUCUCUGGGACGGUACUGG
rnacentral:rRNA from 1 species